rnacentral:lncRNA from 1 species
CCCAGCCUAGCCAGUCCCCUCCUGGAGCGGCGCGAAGACUCUCUGGUCCCCAACCGCCGCCUCCGCUCCGGAACUCGGAGUCCUGGUGGUCUUGCUGCAUUUUUAGCCAAGCGCAGAUUUUGGCACUACCACCCCCUCCCCGGCCCCGCAGCCACUUAUGAUGACUCGCUGGAUCGUGGGGAUGGGGUCUUGCCUCCGCGAGCGCGCGUGUGAGCCAGCUUGUGUGCAGGUCGCGGUGCCCACGCGCAGAGCUCUGAAGCAGCCUUCCAUGCUUCGUGGUUAUUUCGGUUUCCAGGGAAACGAGGUUCGUUGCCGGGAGCCAGUGCAGUAUCCUCUUCUCUGUACUCAGACGCUAAGACGCAUGUAGCACCUCCCUGCGCAUCGGUGCUACUCUGGACAAGGACGGUCCCACAGUCAGGACCCCAGAAGCUCCACAUCGCGGUCCCUUGGGGUUUACAGCCUCCCUGUCGUUAUGUUCACCCACCUCACUCUGCCUGGGCCUUUUUGCAAUCUCCUUGCUCCUGGGAUUGUCCCCUACUCCACUCCGGGGCCUCACCUGGCAACCCCCGCCCCCCUUACCUUCAUCCCACUAUAGCUUCCGUUUGGUUGGCCCCAGUUGUUUUAUGUCGCCAUGCUGAGGGUUUUACAGGACUUUCUAUUUCACUCCUUGCAACAAAUUCCAAGCAAGAGGCACUAUUGAUCUAUCAUCUGCAGAUAGAUGGCUUCCCUGGCAACUGCACAGUGAGGUUACUAGAAAGUUUUCCUGCUCCAUCCCCAACCUGAAGCUUGGCCUCAUACAAAACAAUGAGGAGAGGAGAAGCCUUGCUUUGCUUCCUGUCUUAGUGGGAAAUUCUGUGAUCUUUCACCUUUAAACAUAAUGUAAGCCUUCCUUUUUUGUAGGUGUACUUUUGUCAGGUUGAAAUAUAUUUCCAUUUUGCUGAAAGCAUUUAUCGCCAGGAGGUGAUAAAUCUCGUCAAAUGCUUUUUCUGUUUUGCAUCACUGAGAUGGUCACAUUGUUAUCGAAGGAAUCAGUAAGUGACACACAGAGAGACAGCAGAAUGGAAGUAAAAUAACAAAUUUACUUAUUGAUAAGGCUGAUCGUACAUAAGCUGUGCCUGGAUCAAUGAGGCACUGGGUUACAACUCC